CAGUCGCCGCGGUAACACGAAGGGUGCAAGCGUUAAUCGGAAUUACUGGGCGUAAAGCGUGCGUAGGCGGUUUGUUAAGUCUGCUGUGAAAUCCCCGGGCUCAACCUGGGAAUGGCAGUAAAUACUGGCAAGCUAGAGUGUGUCAGAGGAUGGUGGAAUUCCCGGUGUAGCGGUGAAAUGCGUAGAGAUCGGGAGGAACAUCAGUGGCGAAGGCGGCCAUCUGGGACAACACUGACGCUGAGGCACGAAAGCGUGGGGAGCAAACAGGAUUAGAUACCCCCGUAGUCCCUGUCUCUUAUAC
rnacentral:rRNA from 1 species